UGCUGCUGUGGAUGUAUGUUUGUC
rnacentral:piRNA from 1 species